AUUUCCAGCCUUUCUUUUCUUCUUUCGAGCGAUGACGCUCCAAGCCAAGCGGAGACUGCCCGCUUCUUACCCCCUUCCCUGAAGCGCUGCCCCGCCGCACCCCGCCAGGCUGUCCGGCGUGCAACGGCCGGACCCACUAGGCUGGGACUACCUCCCGCAUUGCGUCGGGGGCGCGGCGCUCAGUGUACCGCGGCGGCAGAGGCCUCGCGGUGGAGGACAGCUCGCGAAUCGGGGGAGUGUGGUGCGGUAGACAGCGUGCCCGCCCCCCUCUUCUGCAACUCCCCCCCUCCCACUGCCAGAGCUGCAUCAAACAGCUCUCAGGUUUCUGCUGAUGCUGCAGCGUCAAGACAUGGCUCGAGUUUGCUCCUCUCUCUUACGUAUUCAGCAGUCCAUUUGCUCCUGCCACAUGCGUCCAUCUCCUGCCUCCUGCUGCUGCUGCCGUUGGGACGAGCCAAGAGCCACUCCGGAGAUGCGGUUGCGGGACUGCGGCUCUCUCACGACUCUCCAGCCGACGCUGUCCAGCGCCCGGCUCCUUCUCCAGAUAUCUUAAAGGAAGAGACCGGGAGACCCAGCAGAUACUUAGGACAGCCUUUUUUUUGUUUAUUAAUUCAAGCCUUCGGAAAAAGACACUUUGCACUCUCUUCCACCCGCCGACUCCCUCACUGCGGUUUUCGGCAGAAACUACUUAAACCCACUCGCCCUUGGUGCAGCCUGAGUAUUCUUUUGGAUGGUGCUGCAAGACGGCUUGUCGCAUUCUGGCACUGGCUCCUAUUCCUAACCAGCGCAUCUCACACAGAGCAGUUGUAUGUAGCUGCUGCAAAGCAGAGGGGAGAUGCUUCACUCCUUCUCCCCAUAUCCCUUCAGUCUGUGUGAUGAAGUUGUCAGUGCUCAGCUAAGUCUCCACCAUCUGCAAAGUGGGAUGCAUGGUGGUCAGGAAACUUACAGCAGGAGCUGAUCCCAGUGAAGUUGCAUGGUAAGCCCUCCAUGGAAGCACUCAAGAGGAGCACAGCAAGGCUGCAGGUUCAUACUGACCUCUUCCUGUCCUGGAGGUACUGUUGUGCAUCCAGGGAUGUACAGGAACAUAUAAGGCUCUUCAUAUGCUGCCAUAAUGAGCAGAGCAGGAUAUUCUUGCUGAUGUGAAAGCUAAUUCAUUGCAGUGGAGUAUGUAUGUGUAGUGGGGCUUGAGGGUUGAUUUAUGAUGCUUCUUUCUUUCUUGGCAGCCUCCAUUCUGCAAGUGAGCUUUAUAUCUUUAAACACCGAGUAUCUCCAUCUCUUCCCCAGUGCACGAGAGGACUGGGGCAGUGGGGGAAGGGUGAGGGGGGGCAGACAAUGGAAAAUUGCUGAGUUGGCAUUGCAAGGACUUGCUUCCCAGCUACCUUGUGAUUUAUUUAUUAAUUUAUUUGUGUGUGUGUGUGUGUGUGUGUGUGUGUGGUAACUUCAAGACAGCAUCCGCAGUGAUGAUCAAGUUGGCAAGAAAAGUGGCCGGAUCGAGUUAAAGGCGAAAGGAGACAGCUGGGGAGGGGACCCCAGCCAGGAGGUGCACCCCGUACACCCUGGCCUGGGGGGACAGGAUCCCUCGCCUUACCUGCCCUCUGCCCUCACCCCCCGAAGGUACUCUCUUUCUUUACUGUCCCUUCAUUCCUUAUGCCACUUCCUGCAUCCCACUUUUUUUUUUCCCUUGUGGAUAUUUCCAGCCUUUAGGCUUCUCUUCCAGUCCUUCCUCAGGCUUCUCCAUUCCCACUCAUCCUGCAGUCUCCAAGCCUACCUCCACACCCUGCCUCCCACCAUCCUCCACUGAACUGCCCUUGCACUUUCUCCUCUCCUCUCCUCUCCUCUCCUCUCCUCUCCUCUCCUCUCCUCUCCUCUCCUCUCC
rnacentral:lncRNA from 1 species